GACGAACGCUGGCGGCGUGCUUAACACAUGCAAGUCGAACGGCAAGGCCCUGCUUUUGUUGGGUGCUCGAGUGGCGAACGGGUGUGUAACACGUGAGUAACCUGCCCUUGACUUGGGGGUAACGUCAGGGAACUGGGGCUAAUACAGGAUAGGAGCUCCUGCUGCAUGGUGGUGGUUGGAUAGUUGCGGCGGUUUGGGAUGGACUCGUGGUUUAUCAGCUUGUUGGUUGGGGAGUGGCUUACCAAGGCAUCGACGGGUAGCCGGCCUGGGAGCGUGACCGGCCACAUUGCGACUGAGAUACGGACCAGACGCCAAUGUGAGGCAACGGUGGGGAAUCUUGCACAGUGGGCGGAAGCCUGAGGCGGCGACGUCGGGUGCGGAAAGCCGGCCUUCGGGGUGUGAACCGCUUUCGCCUGGGACGAAGCGUGAGUGACGGUAAUGGGUAAAGAAGCACCGGCUAACUACGUG
rnacentral:rRNA from 1 species